rnacentral:lncRNA from 1 species
AUAGAAGCAGAGACCUAGAUGGGCUUCUGAUGCCCUUGCACCAGCUGGUUUCCUAAAGGGAAGCUGGGGCCAUGGUCUUUGGAGGGGUGGUGCUGUAGAUCCCGCAGUGCAGUCACAUCCAGAGGACUCAGACUACCGAUGGCUUCUCUAGCUAGGUGUGUCUGGUGUUACUGGUGCCUAAUAUUUUACAGACAUUCUUCUGGUUUGGAAGGCAUUUUGAGUCACCUCUCUUGUAGCAGAGCAUAAUCAUGUUGUCCAUGUUGCUGAUGGUGAAACUCUGCCCUGAGAUCUACAUGGCAAAGGAGCUAAGCAUAAAAUCCUUGGAUCUUCACCACUCCUGGCACUGGAGCAGUUUCCUGGGCUAUGUGGAGUGUGUCUUGGCCUUUGCCGGCAUGGUAGGUUAGAUCAGGACUCGUCCAUCGAUUGGGGCCUGUUUGUGGAGACUCUGGGCUUCCUGGCCAUGCUGACCGACGCCAUGAUGGACCUGCCCCAGCUCUACUGCAACCACUGCCAUGGGUCCUGAGGACAUGAGCAUCCAGAGCACUCAUGAGGACAAGGGCAGUGCCCUCGGGACCACCUACUUCCUGCUGAAAGCUGCCCAUGCAGUUCUUGGUCUGCGCCUGCUGCAAGUGCUGGUGGACCUGGCCAUCCUGGGGCAGGGGUGCCCUUCACCCACCACCCUGAGAAGCCAGCACCCCACACAACACACCCCACCAUGGCCAAAGCACUUCU